UACGAAGGGGGCUAGCGUUGCUCGGAAUCACUGGGCGUAAAGGGUGCGUAGGCGGGUCUUUUAAGUCAGGGGGUGAAAUCCUGGAGCUCAACUCCAGAACUGCCUUUGAUACUGAAGAUCUUGAGUUCGGGAGAGGUGAGUGGAACUGCGAGUGUAGAGGUGAAAUUCGUAGAUAUUCGCAAGAACACCAGUGGCGAAGGCGGCUCACUGGCCCGAUACGUGACGCUGAG
rnacentral:rRNA from 1 species